rnacentral:misc_RNA from 1 species
GGUGAGGAGCCAAAUGAACUUCAAAAGGCGGUCAUCGAUAUUUAGAGGGAAAUUAGCAAUCCUCUCGCCCGAAAUCAGUUCACCGAUUAUAUCGGUAGACUGAUUCGAGAUCGCUACGAUCGACAUUUUCAAUAUUGAUCGGUAAAUUAGUCUGGUUCUCUCACUGUCAUCAGAUGUGGUUCUCAUGAUUCUCCGAUCACCGGGAUCGUAAAUUUUC